GACGAACGCUGGCGGCGUGCUUAACACAUGCAAGUCGAACGGAAAGGCCCUGCUGUUGUGGGGUGCGCGAGGGGCGAACGGGUGGGUAACACGGGAGUAACCUGCCCUUGAAUUUGGGAUACCUUCAGGAAACUGGGGCUAAUACCGGGUAGGAGCUCCUGCUGCACGGUGGGGGUUGGAACGUUGCGGCGGUUGGGGAUGGACUCGCGGCUUAUCAGCUUGUUGGUGGGGGAGUGGCUUACCAAGGCUUUGACGGGUAGCCGGCCUGAGGGGGUGACCGGCCACAUUGUGACUGCGAUACGGGCCAGACUCCUUCGUGGGGCAGCAGUGGGGAAUAUGGCACAAUGGGCGGACGCCGGAUGCCGCCACGCCGCGUGCCGGUUGACGGCCUUCGGGUUUUACACCGCUUCCGCCUGUGACGAAGCGUGGGUGCCGGUAAUGGGUAAAGAAGCACCGGCUACCUACGUG
rnacentral:rRNA from 1 species